GAGAGAGAGAGAGAGAGAGAGGUCGGUCGAGAGAGAGAGGUAGGUCGAGAGAGAGAGGUAGGUCGAGAGAGAGAGGUAGGUCGAGAGAGAGAGGUAGGUCGAGAGAGAGAGGUAGGUCGAGAGAGAGAGGUAGGUCGAGAGAGAGAGGUAGGUCGAGAGAGAGAGGUCGGUCGAGAGAGAGAGAGAGGUCGGUCGAGAGAGAGAGAGGUCGGCCGAGAGAGAGAGAGGUCGGUCGAGAGAGAGAGGUCGAGAGAGAGAGAGAGGUCGAGAGAGAGAGAGGUCGAGAGAGAGAGAGGUCGGUCGAGAGAGAGAGAGAGGUCGGUCGAGAGAGAGAGAGAGGUCGGUCGAGAGAGAGAGAGGUCGGUCGAGAGAGAGAGAGAGAGAGAGAGGUCGGUCGAGAGAGAGAGGUAGGUCGAGAGAGAGAGGUAGGUCGAGAGAGAGAGGUAGGUCGAGAGAGAGAGGUAGGUCGAGAGAGAGAGGUAGGUCGAGAGAGAGAGGUAGGUCGAGAGAGAGAGGUAGGUCGAGAGAGAGAGGUAGGUCGAGAGAGAGAGGUAGGUCGAGAGAGAGAGGUAGGUCGAGAGAGAGAGGUAGGUCGAGAGAGAGAGAGAGAGGUCGGUCGAGAGAGAGAGAGGAGGUCG